UGCCACAGCCACUCCAACCUUCAGCAACUGCCACUCUGACCAGUCAGCAGCCAUCAACAAUGAGGCAAGACCCCACCAGCAAAAAUUAACAAAAGGAUUACGACUUGCAGAAGGCUCAGAUGAAGGCCAAGGGAAGGAGCAUGGUGCACAUCCAGUCCAGGUGACCCACCAGUGACUGCAGUCCUAGCCACCUCCAGACUGCAACUGUCAGAGAACCACCCAGGUGAGCCCACAGAAAAUUGAGAGGUAAUAAUAUAUUUUUGUUUUA